rnacentral:misc_RNA from 1 species
GAUGAAGAACGUAGCGAAAUGCGAUAAGUAGUGUGAAUUGCAGAAUUCAGUGAAUCAUCGAAUCUUUGAACGCACAUUGCGCCCCAUGGUAUUCCGUGGGGCAUGCCUGUUCGAGCGUCAUUUACCCGCUCAAGCUCCGCUUGGUGUUGGGCGUCUGUCCCGCUUCGCGCGCGGACUCGCCCCAAAGGUAUUGGCAGCGGUCGUGCCAGCUUCUCGCGCAGCACAUUGCGCUUCUCGAGGCACCGGUGGGCCCGCGUCCAUCAAGCUCACCCCCCCAGUUUGACCUCGGAUCAGGUAGGGAUACCCGCUGAACUUAAGCAUAUCAAUAAGCGGAGGA